rnacentral:rRNA from 1 species
GUGAUGACGAGGCACUACGGUGCUGAAGUGACAAAUGCCCUGCUUCCAGGAAAAGCCUCUAAGCAUCAGGUAACACGAAAUCGUACCCCAAACCGACACAGGUGGUCAGGUAGAGAAUACCAAGGCGCUUGAGAGAACUCGGGUGAAGGAACUAGGCAAAAUGGUGCCGUAACUUCGGGAGAAGGCACGCUGAUAUGUAGGUGAAGUGAUUUACUCAUGGAGCUGAAAUCAGUCGAAGAUACCAGCUGGCUGCAACUGUUUAUUAAAAACACAGCACUGUGCAAACACGAAAGUGGACGUAUACGGUGUGACGCCUGCCCGGUGCCGGAAGGUUAAUUGAUGGGGUUAUCCGUAAGGAGAAGCUCUUGAUCGAAGCCCCGGUAAACGGCGGCCGUAACUAUAACGGUCCUAAGGUAGCGAAAUUCCUUGUCGGGUAAGUUCCGACCUGCACGAAUGGCGUAAUGAUGGCCAGGCUGUCUCCACCCGAGACUCAGUGAAAUUGAACUCGCUGUGAAGAUGCAGUGUACCCGCGGCAAGACGGAAAGACCCCGUGAACCUUUACUAUAGCUUGACACUGAACACUGGUCCUUGAUGUGUAGGAUAGGUGGGAGGCUUUGAAGUGUGGACGCCAGUCUGCAUGGAGCCAUCCUUGAAAUACCACCCUUUAAUGGCUGGUGUUCUAACGUGGGCCCGUAAUCCGGGUUGCGGACAGUGUCUGGUGGGUAGUUUGACUGGGGCGGUCUCCUCCCAAAGAGUAACGGAGGAGCACGAAGGUUAGCUAAUCCUGGUCGGACAUCAGGAGGUUAGUGCAAAGGCAUAAGCUAGCUUGACUGCGAGAGUGACGGCUCGAGCAGGUGCGAAAGCAGGUCUUAGUGAUCCGGUGGUUCUGAAUGGAAGGGCCAUCGCUCAACGGAUAAAAGGUACUCCGGGGAUAACAGGCUGAUACCGCCCAAGAGUUCAUAUCGACGGCGGUGUUUGGCACCUCGAUGUCGGCUCAUCACAUCCUGGGGCUGAAGUAGGUCCCAAGGGUAUGGCUGUUCGCCAUUUAAAGUGGUACGCGAGCUGGGUUUAGAACGUCGUGAGACAGUUCGGUCCCUAUCUGCCGUGGGCGCUGGAGAAUUGAGGGGGGCUGCUCCUAGUACGAGAGGACCGGAGUGGACGCAUCACUGGUGUUCGGGUUGUCAUGCCAAUGGCACUGCCCGGUAGCUAAAUGCGGAAGAGAUAAGUGCUGAAAGCAUCUAAGCACGAAACUUGCCCCGAGAUGAGUUCUCCCUGAGACUUAGAGUCUCCUGAAGGAACGUUGAAGACGACGACGUUGAUAGGUCGGGUGUGUAAGUGUAGCGAUACAUUGAGCUAACCGAUACUAAUGAACCGUGAGGCUUAACCUUACAACGCCGAAG